rnacentral:misc_RNA from 1 species
GAUGAAGAACGCAGCGAAAUGCGAUACGUAAUGUGAAUUGCAGAAUUCAGUGAAUCAUCGAAUCUUUGAACGCACAUUGCGCCCGGCAGUACUCUGCCGGGCAUGCCUGUUCGAGCGUCAUUUCAACCCUCAAGCCCUGCUUGGUGUUGGGGCCCUACGGCUGCCGUAGGCCCCGAAAGGAAGUGGCGGGCUCGCUACAACUCCGAGCGUAGUAACUCAUUAUCUCGCUUAGGGCGUUGGGCGGCGCUCCAGCCGUUAAAGAACCAUCUUUAACUCAAGGUUGACCUCGGAUCAGGUAGGAAUACCCGCUGAACUUAAGCAUAUCAAUAAGCGGAGGA